CUUCAGGAAGUGGUUCAGAAUUGGGCGCGAUGUGUGAUACUUUUCCACAGCAAUGUACACCCGGUCAAGCAGCUCCAUGAAAAUGUGCGUUUAUUCGGAGAGUUGCGGUAUGUUGAGAGGUUGGAUAGUGUUAGUUUGGACAUCGUUUGGUGAGUUUAGAACGAGAGAGAGGACUAGUUAUUACUCGUUAGUCGAAUUUAGAGGGAUAGGAAGGAAGAGGCUGGAGCCAUUGAAGAAGACGAGGACGUCCCCGAUGUGGGAACAUUUUGAUUUGAUAACUCUUAUUCAGGUCAGGUGUGGUGUUUAUUGUGUUUCAAGGCGUUGGGGUACAACAACAACAAGACAUCCAUGAUAAGGCCGUGCUUUACAUGGGAAUCGCAGGAAACUUGCGCUUCACCCAGCCACGGCACCAGAAAACAAGAGCUGGAUGAGGCCCUGGUCUCCAUGAUUGUGAAGGAUAAACAGCCCUUCACAAUUGUGGAAGAUGUAGGAUUCAGGACAUUUGUGUCCAAACUGGAUCUGAAGUAUGUAUGUUCUCCCUACAAGGCAGGCUCUGAAAGCCGUGGUGGAGGCCAAAUAUAAGUCUGCUAAGGCUGAGGUGGGAAAGGUGGCUGCCGUAAGCCUUACGUCUGACAUGUGGACAUCCAUUAACAUGGAUGACUACCUGGCAAUAACUUGCCAUUUUUUGGGGGAGAAAAGUAGCCUUUGUUCAGUGCUUUUAGGAGCGCAGGCAUUCCCCCAAUCCCCCACACCUGAAAAUCUAGGUAGUGUGAAAGCCUCCUUGAUGGACGAAUGGGAAAUCACUACAAAGGUGACAUGCAUGGUCACUGAUGGCGGACCAAACAUACUUGGCUGUGUGAGAGAGCUGGAUCUUCGUCAUCACAUUUGCAUUGCUCACACGCUAAAUUUAAUUCUAAAAAAGGCACUUGCUCUCUGACAUCAGGGCCAAAGCAAGGAAGCUGGUUGGCUACUUCAGAAGCAGCACCACUGCUAAGGUUUGCUAUUUCCCUUUAAUCCAACUUUAUAAUGGUAAUAAUUUGUCUGUGGUUCCACUACAGUGAUUAAUGGUCUACUCAUCUGUAUCUUUAAAGGAGAAGCUUACACAAGUGCAGUGUAAUAUGGGGCUGAACAACAUGAAGCUUUUGCUUCAGUGGAAUAGAUGGAACAGCACAUACAACCCCAAUUCCAAUGAAGUUGGGACAUUGUGUUAAACAUAAAUAAAAACAGAAUACAAUGAUUUGUAAAUGAUGUUCAACCUAUAUUUAAUUGAAUACACUACAAAGAUAUUUAAUGUUCAAACUAAUAAACUUUGUUUUUAGCAAAAAUCAUUAACUUAGACUUUUAUGGCUGCAACAUGUUCCAAAAAAGCUGGGAUAGGUGGCAAAAAUGACUGAGAAAGUUAAGGAAUGCUCAUCAAACACCUGUUUGGAACAUCCCACAGGUGAACAGGCUAAUUGGGAACAGGUGGGUGCCAUGAUUGGGUAUAAAAGGAGCUUCCUGGAAUUGCUCAGUCAUUCACAACCAAAGAUGGGGUGAGGUUCACCUCUUUGUGAACAAGUGCGUGAGAAAAUAGUCGAACAGUUUAAGAACAAUGUUCCUCAAUGUACAAUUGCAAGGAUUUUAGGGAUUUCAUCACCUACGGUCCAUAAUAUCAUCAAAAGGUUCAGAGAAUAUGGAGAAAUCACUGCACGUAAGCAGCAAAGCCAGAAAUCAACAUUGAAUGCCUGUGACCUUCGAUCCCUCAGGUGGCACUGCAUCAAAAACUGACAUCAAUGUGUAAAGGAUAUCACCACAUGGGCUCAGGAACACUUCAGAAAACCAAUGUCAGUAAAUACAGUUCGGCGCUACAUCCGUAAGUGCAACUUGAAACUCUAUUAUGUAAAGCAAAAGCCAUUUAUCAACAACACCCAGAAACUGCGCCGGCUUCUCUGGGCCCAAGGUCAACUAAGAUGGACUGAUGCAAAGUGAAAGUGUUCUGUGGUCCGACAAGUCCACAUUUCAAAUUGUUUUUGGGAAAAUGUGGACGUCGUGUCCUCCGGGCCAAAGAAGAAUAGAACCAUCCAGACUGUUAUGGAUGCAAAGUUCAAAAGCCAGCGGUGAUGGUAUGGGGCUGUGUUAGUGUCAAUGUCAUGGGUAACUCACACAUCUGUGAAGGCACCAUUAAUGCUGAAAGGUACAUACAGGUUUUGGAGAAACAUAUGCUGCCAUCCAAACCAAACCACAUUUGGCACGUGUUACAACAGCGUGGCUUCGUAGUAAAAGAGUGCGGGUACUAGACUGGCCUGCCUGCAGUCCAGACCUGUCUCCCCUUCAAAAUGUGUGGCGCAUCAUGAAGCGUAAAAUACAACAACGGAGACCCCGGACUGUUGAACAGCUGAAGCUGUAUAUCAAGCAAGAAUGGGAAAUAAUUACACCUACAAAGCUUCAACAAGUAGUGUCCUCGGUUCCCAAACGUUUAUUGAAUGUUGUUAAAAGAAAAGGUGAUGUAACACAGUGGUCAAUAUGAGCCUGUCUCGGUUUUUUUGGAAUGUGUUGCAGCCAUAAAAUUCUAAGUUAAUGAUUAUUUGCUAAAAACAAUAAAGUUUAUCAGUUUGAACAUUAAAUAUCUUGUCUUUGUAGUGUAUUCCACUAAAUAUAGGUCGAACAUGAUUUGCAAAUCAUUGUAUUCUGUUUUUAUGUAUGUUUAACACAACGUCCCAACUUCAUUGUAAUUGGGGUUGUACUUGAUGCUGCAACCUUUAAUUGAACAAAGGAGGAGCCAGUAGGAGCAGCUUUAGUAGGCCCCGGCUCAUCAGGCAACUCCAAGAUAAGCUAUUCACUUUACAGUCAAUGAGCAUCAUAGCCCUACCUACACUCCUGGGGCCUUAUGUACAAAGACUUGCGUGGAUUUCCUACUAAAACAUGGCAUACACUCAUAUCCAGAAAACGUCGUAUGCACAAAAAUAUCCAGAUGUAUGAAACUCUGCGUACUCAUGAAUCCAAGCACAUUUCCUUCGUAACUUCCAAUCAACGUGGAAAUGAGCGUACGUUGGAGUAGCCGACUCCUCCAUGUCCACGCCCAUAUUUGAAUAUGCAAAUCACAUUUAAAUGAACCCUGCACCUGAGAUGGCGAUUUCUGCAUGAUCAUAAAAAAAUGAAAAUGAGCAAGGUAAUGAAGAAAAAUUAUUUUUCUAAAUGUGAAGUUGCUCAAUGAAGUGGAGGUGCGCAAGAAAAUCCUCUUUGGCACGCUGUCCUCCGGCAUUAACACACAAAAGAGGAUUGAAUGGGACAGCGCGUGUGCGGCUGUCAAUGCUGUGGAGACAGAAUAGCGCGCACACGCUGAACUAAAAAAAGAAGUGGUCAGACAUUAAGGUGGAUGUGAAGCGGAGGAUAGCUGCCCACCACCAAAGUGUGGCCAAAAAAAGGCGGAAGAACCGGCACGGAGGGCCUCACCCCGUUCGAGGAGAGAUUCGCUGCGAUCAUGGGUGACGCUGCUCUCUCAGGGGUGACUGGAGGACGUGGCUGACUAUGAUCACCCCACAAGUUUAAUACCAUGUAUUUUUAGAACUCAUAACCAAUGUGUUCAUACAGUAACCUACACUCAGCCCUGUGAGAUAAAGGUUCAUGUGUAAAUGUUGUAUGUGUUGUAUUUGUAAUAAAUCUUUUUAAUUCAAAUAGAAGCACAUCAGCAUAUCAAAGAGGAUAUCAAAAACUUUGACUCCUUUUUGAUUACUCAAUUUAAUAUUUUAAUACACAGGAGUAGACGCGCAUGCUGAAAAAAAAAUCGUUUUUUUUUUUAGGAGAAGAGGGGUAAAUUAUGUCAAUUUAAACACAUUUUAAUCAUGUGCAACUGAUGUACAUGUUCAAAUUAAGUAAAUUCAAAGGACUCUUUUUUUCAGUGCAUGUGCUGGAGUCACGAAGCGAUUGUGAGGGCAAUAGGCGGCAUAAAUGAUCGCCUUGAUCAAUUAAUACGUGUCCUCACAAAUAUCAGUGAUUCAUUAAAUACACUGUCAGUCCUUGCCUCAAUUGCAUUGUUGAAAUCAAAUGAUGCCGGGCAUUAAUUGUUCAUCAGUGGUAAUUGUUCAUCUCUCUGAUGUGCAGAUUUAUGAGAACAGUUCCCCCGCAUCGCCUCGAAGUGUCGCCAAAGCACCAAAAGCUGCAGAAACGUGCGUACGCCAGCCAUGCAGUUGGCAUGAGGCACCGCACAUUUCUACGGUCAUGUCACUCUUGAUACAUCUGAACUUUGCCGUGAAAAAGAACGGACGCCACGUUUUCGUGCGUACGCACCUUUUGUACAUGAGUCCCCUGGACCCUGGUUUUAAAGUGAUAGGGUUUUAAAGCCACAGAAGCGAUAAAGAGACUGACUUCUGAGUGUACCAGUCUAUUGAAGUACGAACAAACCAGAGAGGAAAUCCCAGAGGCUUCCACCGCUCAUGCUGUCAUGUAGCACACUGUGGCAUCGUUUUGACAGCAGCGGGAUGGAAAACCCUUUAGAGUACUGGUCGAGGCGCAAAUCACUUUACCCCAAUUUGUACACACUUGCUUUGGCACAUUUGUGCACCCUGGCAUCUUCUGUGCGAUGUGAAAGAGUAUUUUCAAAGGCUGAGGAGGUUGUAUCAAAGAAAAGGAAUUGCUUAAAACCGCAAAAUGUUGAGAAGCUAUUAUUUCUGAAUAAAAUCUCCCCUCUUCUUUCAAUCAUAGUUACUGUUAGAUAAAUUGUAGAAGUUAUCAUUUAUUUGCUUAGCUUGCAUUAGUAUAAUGGACAAUUUUAGAUGUAUUGCCUUCAAAAAGAAGACUCAGCAUCAUCCGAUGGAAGGGCGCCUGGACCAAGGACGUUAUCGGAUGUGGUCGGGUCGUGACAGGUGUUGGUUCAAUAUUAUGUGUUGUGUCUUAUUACUUAGAAUACUAUGUCUGGGAAAAACCCUCUUAUUAUCAAAUAUUUUGUGUUGUGUCUUAUUGCUUAGAACAUUAUGAUUUGUAAAUCCCUCCUAUUUCAAAUAAAAGCAGGAGCGAGGGGGGGGAUUGUUUAGAGCGUGUUGAGAGGCUGUGAUCUGAACAAUCUCCCAUAC